AGAGUUUGAUCAUGGCUCAGAUUGAACGCUGGCGGCAUGCCUUACACAUGCAAGUCGAACGGUAACAGGUCUUCGGAUGCUGACGAGUGGCGAACGGGUGAGUAAUACAUCGGAACGUGCCCGAUCGUGGGGGAUAACGAAGCGAAAGCUUUGCUAAUACCGCAUAAGAUCUACGGAUGAAAGCAGGGGACCGCAAGGCCUUGCGCGAACGGAGCGGCCGAUGGCAGAUUAGGUAGUUGGUGGGAUAAAAGCUUACCAAGCCGACGAUCUGUAGCUGGUCCGAGAGGACGACCAGCCACACUGGGACUGAGACACGGCCCAGACUCCUACGGGAGGCAGCAGUGGGGAAUUUUGGACAAUGGGCGAAAGCCUGAUCCAGCCAUGCCGCGUGCAGGAUGAAGGCCUUCGGGUUGUAAACUGCUUUUGUACGGAACGAAAAGACUCUGGUUAAUACCUGGGGUCCAUGACGGUACCGUAAGAAUAAGCACCGGCUAACUACGUGCCAGCAGCCGCGGUAAUACGUAGGGUGCAAGCGUUAAUCGGAAUUACUGGGUCGUAAAGCGUGCGCAGGCGG
rnacentral:rRNA from 1 species